rnacentral:rRNA from 1 species
GAUGAACGCUGGCGGCGUGCUUAACACAUGCAAGUCGAACGGUGAAAGAGAGCUUGCUCUCUGGAUCAGUGGCGAACGGGUGAGUAACACGUGAGCAAUCUGCCCCUGACUCUGGGAUAACAGCUGGAAACAGCUGCUAAUACCGGAUACGAGUUGCGAAGGCAUCUUCAGCAGCUGGAAAGAAUUUCGGUCAGGGAUGAGCUCGCGGCCUAUCAGCUUGUUGGUGAGGUAAUGGCUCACCAAGGCGUCGACGGGUAGCCGGCCUGAGAGGGUGACCGGCCACACUGGGACUGAGACACGGCCCAGACUCCUACGGGAGGCAGCAGUGGGGAAUAUUGCACAAUGGGCGAAAGCCUGGUGCAGCAACGCCGCGUGAGGGACGACGGCCUUCGGGUUGUAAACCUCUUUUAGCAAGGAAGAAGCGAAAGUGACGGUACUUGCAGAAAAAGCGCCGGCUAACUAC